rnacentral:rRNA from 1 species
GAUGAACGCUGGCGGCGUGCCUAAUACAUGCAGGUCGAGCGAACAGAUGAGGAGCUUGCUCCUCUGACGUUAGCGGCGGACGGGUGAGUAACACGUGGAUAACCUACCUAUAAGACUGGGAUAACUUCGGGAAACCGGAGCUAAUACCGGAUAAUAUAUUGAACCGCAUGGUUCAAUAGUGAAAGACGGUUUUGCUGUCACGUAUAGAUGGAUCCGCGCCGCAUUAGCUAGUUGGUAAGGUAACGGCUUACCAAGGCAACGAUGCGUAGCCGACCUGAGAGGGUGAUCGGCCACACUGGAACUGAGACACGGUCCAGACUCCUACGGGAGGCAGCAGUAGGGAAUCUUCCGCAAUGGGCGAAAGCCUGACGGAGCAACGCCGCGUGAGUGAUGAAGGUCUUCGGAUCGUAAAACUCUGUUAUUAGGGAAGAACAAAUGUGUAAGUAACUAUGCACGUCUUGACGGUACCUAAUCAGAAAGCCACGGCUAACUACGUG